AUAACUAUUCCUUAUCAGGGUGACGAAUAGUCAAUCCAUAGUCACAUUAUUCUGAUAAUGGGAUCACGGCGUGCUAUAUAGGGACGAUGAGAUCCUCCGAAACUCCCGGUAGGGAAUAAAAGAAAAACUCCCACCAUCUCUCACCAACCUCCCGACUCCCUCCAAUGCAUCGCCGCCGGCCCCAACCUCCUGAUUCCAGCGCGUUGCCGGACCCCUCCACCUGCUUCCGCCGCGUCGCCCCGAACCGGCGCCGCCGGACCCCUCUUCCCUUCUGUCGGCGUGCCUCUUCCCCCGCCGCCGGAGCGCCACUUCCCCCAUCCGCCGGCGCUCCUCCUCCCGCUCCACCCUAAACCAUGCGCCUCCAUCCUCCCACCCCGACGCGAGCGACCCACUGGGCGCCGCACCUGCAUCGCCGCCCCCCUCCCCAGCCACCGGCGCGCCAUCCUCCCCGCUCCACUGCCGCCACCCCGCCCCGGCCGCAACCCACGACGCCCCGUCUCUCCUCCCCUGGAUCGCCGUUGCGUGCCGCCGAUGCAGGACACCUCCCGAUGCGCUGCCGCCAUGUCGCGGAUGACCCCGAGCGACCUUCUUUUCCACCUCCCCAAGCGCCGCCACUCUGGACCCAUCGCACUCAGGCCCUCACCCCUGCCGCCGCGACCUUCUCCCCUUGCCACCGCGACCUUCUUCCCCCUGCCUCCGCGACCUUCUUCCCCCUUCCCCGCACUGCCCUUCGGAUGAGAGGCAGCGCUCCAACCAGCCAUGCUCAUGGGUCACCGCCCACCACCAGCGCACCUCAUUCCGCCGGCACGAACUUCCUCUCGCCCCUAACUCAAUCCUUCUUUUGCCGGCCAGAUCCGAGCGCCUUCUCUGCCCACGCCUCUCCGGCGAGAGCCUCCUUCUCUACAUACUCCGAGUGACUCCGGACAGAUCCAUGGAGCUCGAGAAGUUCAUUGGCUGCGGAGGUGGUUGCUGCCGACUCCAGGGCUUCGCCUCACUCGGACGACUCACUACCUCUAGCGGCCGCCGCCGUCCAUCGCGCCGGCUCAUGUCACCUUCCUGGUCGCCCCACGCGCUGACCAGCGCUGCUCCGAUCCAGCUCCUCCAUCCUCCAGCCACGACAACCAAGUCCAAAAACAAAAGAAGUUCUGAUUCUCGCAAGCUACAAGUUCAGAGCUUUCACUUCUCUGAACAAAAUUCAGAUUUUUGCACCUACAUAUAUGCCAAGUAGGUUCACUUGUGCGAGCGGUGCUUCCAGUUCAGUUGCAAGCUUUCGCUUCUUCAUGAUCACGAUCGCUUGCUUGUCUUCUCUUCUUCCCUGAACCCAAUCCCCUGGGAUCAUGCAGGGAGUUUCAAAGAGCGUUAACUACUCAGAACCUGAGUAUUUUGUGGUGGUUUGAUCUGAAUGAUCAAUAUGUUUGCUUCUUGAUACUACACAAAAGAAGAAAAACGGCAAGUCUAUCAUCCAAUUGAGUGUGUGUUUCAGAAUUCAAGAUCGGUAAUUUCUACAUUGAGUGGUAGGUCCACGCACACAAUCUCUGCUUUCAACUUGAAGAAAAAGCAGUCAUCAUGUCCGGCACAAACACAGAAAUCUCAUGGCCCAGUGAUCUGCCGCGUCGCACGCCAACAAUGAGCGACAAGCUCAAAGAUUCGCUUGAUUUAGUCGGAGGAAAAUGCAUACUGCAUCCGUUUGUGGCUGCAGAAAAUACAGAAGUUCCUUUAGAGAUGUAGUAUUAUUCUUCAGAGUUCUGAUAACUGAAUUUUGGGCCGCUGAACCAUGCUAACCUCGACCUUGUAAAAGGAUGUUCAGAAGUUUGAAGUAGACUAAAACAAAAGUAAAAAAAAAAAGAGCUAUGUGCUGCUGUGUCCGUAGUAGGUGUGGUGUCUCGUAUGUGUGUGCGAGCGUUCACUGUGUGGGUCCUCGUGUGUUCCUGUGGGUCGUAUGCUCCCAUGUGUGCGUGCUCUUUUUUUUUGAGAAAAAUGUGUGCGUGCUCUAGUGUGUGUGUCAUGUGUGCUCUCAUGUAUACUCCGUGUAAUUAUUGUGUCCAUAUGUUCAUAAGGUUAUUUGAUUGUGUCGAGAAACUUCUAAAUUU